rnacentral:misc_RNA from 1 species
GAUGAAGAACGCAGCGAAAUGCGAUAAGUAAUGUGAAUUGCAGAAUUGAGUGAAUCAUCGAAUCUUUGAACGCACCUUGCGCUCCUUGGUAUUCCAAGGAGCAUGCCUGUUUGAGUAUCAUUAAAUUAUCAACUGUGCCAAUUUGGUUACAGAUUGGAUGUGGGAGAUUCUUUUUGCAGGCCUUUGACUUCUCUUUGAGAAAAAAAAUAAAAGGUCGGCUCUCCUGAAAUGUAUUAGCAGUGCCUUUGUUGGUUCAUUAGGUGUGAUAAAUUGUCUACAUCUUCGCAUGAUACCUUCAUUUGUAAAGGUCAUAUUGCUUCUAAAUUGUCUUUGAUUGGACGCAAAACAUAUAUAAUGUUUGACAAACUUGAUCUCAAAUCAGGCAGGACUACCCGCUGAACUUAAGCAUAUCAAUAAGCGGAGGA